UACGUAGGCAGCAAGCGUUGUUUGGAGUUACUGGGCGUAAAGGGUGCGUAGGCGGUCCUAUAAGUAUGGUGUGAAAUCUCCCGGCUUAACUGGGAGGGUGCGCUAUAGACUGUGGGACUAGAGUGUGGGAGAGGAAAGUGGAAUUCCUGGUGUAGCGGUGAAAUGCGUAGAUAUCAGGAGGAACACCGGUGGUGUAAACGGCUUUCUGGACCAUAACUGACGCUGAGGCACGAAAGCGUGGGUAGCAAACAGG
rnacentral:rRNA from 1 species